GAGGAGGAGUAUGAGAUUUUAAGUUUGGUCAGUAUGGGCAAAACAGUGUGCUUCGGUUACCUUGGUUUUCUUCGUCACCUCUUUUGGAAGGCCGUGCCUAAAAAUUCCCCUUCGACAGCCGAGCCUAGAAUUUUCUAUGCUCGAGUUCACGAGUUUAAGGAGAUUCAUAUACUAUUUUGUGGCUUUUAUAGCGAUUCUAUUGAUGACUCAGAGAGCUGUGAGAUUUGCGGUCUCAAGAAUUAUGAUGAAUUCCGGAAGAAAGCAAAAGAAUUGCAGGAUAAAGAAGAAGAGAAAGCAAUGGCAAUUAAUAACGGUGGAUAUUUGUUCUGUCCAAUUAAUUUUAGCGCCAUGUACCAGUCUUCCCAUGGAGACAAACAAAUGAUGAACAGUGAAUCGGAUGGAAGGUGAAAGAGACCCAGGAUGCCUGGUCCCUAGAAAAUUUGCCACGGAGAGAAAGAAAAUGCAGCUGAUGUUGUCACAUAAAUUCGAUUGGAAUGGUGUUUAUGCUCAACCUGGUAGGGCACGUGCCGAUUACGAUUACCUCAUCAAGCUCCUUCUUAUUGGCGAUAGCGGUGUGGUAAAGAGUUGUCUUCUUUUGCGAUUUUCUGAUGGUUCCUUCACCACCAGUUUCAUCAGCACUAUUGGCAUUGAUUUUAAGAUAAGAACCAUUGAACUUGACGGUAAACGCAUUAAGUUACAAAUCUGGGACACAGCCGGUCAGGAGCGAUUUCGAACUAUUACCACAGCUUAUUACCAUGGAGCCAUGGCCAUUUUGCUUGUUUACGAUGUUACUGAUGAAGCAUCUUUCAACAAUAUUAGGAAUUGGAUUCGCAACAUUGAACAACAUGCUUCUGACAAUGUAAACAAGAUCCUUGUUGGUAACAAGGCUGAUAUGGAUGAAAGUAAAAGGGCUGUUCCUACCGCCAAAGGUCAAGCUCUCGCCGAUGAGUAUGGUAUCAAGUUUUUUUUCGAAACUAGUGCAAAGACAAACAUGAAUGUAGAGGAUGUUUUCUUUUCAAUAGCUAGAGAUAUCAAGCAAAGGCUUGCUGACACAGAUUCUAAGGCUGAACCUCAGGCGAUCAAGAUCAACCAACCGGACCAGGCUGCCGGUGGUGGCCAAGCCGCUCAAAAGUCGGCCUGCUGUGGUUGAUGAAAAUAACAAUUGUGCAGUAAGGAGGGUGAAGAUUCAACAACACUUGCCCCUUCAAAUGGAAUCUUGAGAUGCAUAAAUCUAAGAAGGAAAAAAUGCCAUGCCAUCUCAAACUCAAAGCACAUGGCAUGCACAUGUUAAUGCUACUUCAGUUUGGAUGCCUACUUGAAAUGACACGUGGCUUCAUAGUUUAGUGGUGAAGGAUUAUUAUUAUGCUUUUGCUAAGAUGUUCAGAUUCCCAAUAUAGAUUGUGAUUACUGAUUGACUCAUUGGUAGUUCUUUCAUAGUAAUCUAUGAACAAUGUUCUUUUUUACAUC